GGUAAAAUCAAUAUAGUCAUAAUGUAAAAAAGUUGCCCCUUGAAGUACCAAGCAUUUUUCACUGCUUAAUAUUUUUGUAUCUAUAACCGUUCAAGAAUUAUAGGGAAAUGAAAAACUUAUAAAAAUCUAAAAUAUGACCUUGACCUUUGACCUUGACCUAAUUUUCUAAGUUAGGAUCCAGGGGACUCAAAUAAAAACAUUCCAGGGUUAUACGGUCAACGGUUUAUGAGUUAAAAAAACAUACCGACAAAUUUAUUCCGUAAAGGUAGAUAACUCCUAUAAAAUUUAAUCGAAUCGCUUCGAUCCAAAUGAGCCAAAAAUUAGUGAGGAUGUAACGAACAAUUUGUAAAAAGAAUUUUGUCGCUAUCUAUUUUUGGUACGAAGGAGAUACACUCUGAUGAUAAACAGUAAAUAGGGAGAUAACUCUUACAAAGAAAUUGGUUCGGCUUAGCAGGGUGAAAUUUAAAAGCGCAUAAACUAUACGAUACAAUCUGAGAAAUAUCAAAGCGACAUAUUGCGAAACAAACAUUUAUCGCAAGAACAAAAGUUGGCGGAAAAAAAAAAAAAAAAAAUAAUAAUAAUAAUAAUAAUAAUAAUCAGAACAAAUACAAUAAGUCUUUCCACAGAAAAGUGGAAAGACUUAAUUAAAAACCAAUUGUUCAGAGAACAAUUGAAAGUCUUUCCAAACUAAAGUAAUUUGGAUAAGAAGGUAGUUUCUUUAUACUGAUGCGAUAAAUGAUGGUUUAAUUAUAUUUUUGAGUGAUAUAAGGGAGAUAAUAUGCUACUUCCGGUGAAAUUAAUGUCACAUCCGGUCUCAUAUGAUAGCUUCUUUCACACUGAUUCCAAAAAUAUAUAGUUUCUAUAUACUUUUGUAUGUAGAAUGGGAGAUAAUUGGCCACUUCCGGUUUGUUGGAAGUCAUUUUUAGUCUUCAGUAAUCUGUUCAUGUAUCUAUAUACAAAAUAUAUGGAUUCUGGGUACUUUUUAAGUGAAAGAAAUUGCAAAAAUAGCUACUUCCGGUUUUCUAAAGGUCACUUCCGGUAGCCAUUUUUCAAGGUCAUUAGUCACUUAACCUUUUGUAUAAGGUCAAAUGUCUUUAUAAUGAACUUACUUGAAGUUAUAAUCAAAUAACCUCAUAUCAAGACAUUUCAGGGUCACCAACUCCUAUAAGAUGCCAUUUAAUUGUAUAAGACAAAAUGUAGCAUAUCUUCAUUACAAUAAAGCGGACAUUUUGCACUUGUUCUUUUAUAUGUAUCUCUCAAAGUAAGGGGAAAAUGCAAAAACAAGCAAAAGUCAUAAUUUAGAACUUGACCUUGACAUUUGACCUUGACAUAAUUUUCUAAGUAAGGACCCAGGGGACUCAAAUAAAACAUGCAAGGGUUAUACGGUUAACGGUUUAUGAGAUAAAAAAACAUACGAACAAAUUUAUUCCGUAAAGGUAGAUAACUCCUAUAAAAUUUCAUCAAAUCGCUUCGAUCCAAAUACGCCAAAAAAUCCUGAGGAUGUAACGAACAAUUUGUAAAAAGAAUUUUGUCGCUAUCUUUUUUUGUUACGAAGGAGAUACGCUCUGAUGAUAAACGGUAAAUAGGGAGAUAACUCUUACAAAGAAAAUGGUUCGGCUUAGCAGGGUGAAUUUAAAAGCGCAUAAACUAUACGAUACAAUAUGAAAAAUAUCUAAGCGACAUAUUGCGAAACAAACAUUUAUCGCAAGAACAAAAUUGGCGGAAAAAAAAAUAAUAAUUAAAACCAAUUGUUCAGAGAACAUGAGGUCUUUCAUCAAAACAAUGUAUUGAUAUGAAAAGUUGUGAAACUAAGUUUAAAAUUCAUUUCAAUCGUCAAAUGAUAGCUCUAGUAAGCUGAUCCAAAAAUAUAUUGUUUCCAUACAUUUUUUUAAAUAAGGAGAUAAUUUGUUACUUCCGGUUUGAAAAAUGUUACUUCGAUUAUAUUUGAAUAUUUACUUGACACAUUCCAAAAAUAUCUGGUUCUAUAUACUUUUAUAUUAAUAAAGUACAAAUAAAUAGCUAUUUCCGGUUUACAAAAGGUCACUUCCGGUUGUUUUUUACAAGGUUAAAUGGUUUGAUACCUUUUUCUAAAAGUUGUAUAUCUUUAUCAUGUAUACAUAUAGAAUAAAAGCAAAGGUCAAAAUCUAGAACGUCAAAUUAAGCUAUGACCUGAGAUCAAUUUCAAGGUCAUAAACAAGGACCUCAAAUCAAAGACCAUAGGUCUUUAUAUAUCUUAUAUACUAAAAUACGAGUCCAAUUUGUCAGCCGUCAUCACGUAAAAAACGACGAAUCAAAGAAUUCAACUUUAUAUAUAAACUAAUAUAGUACAAAGGUGUAGAUUAAAAAUUACACCACUCCAGGCCUUUGUUUUCCACGUAAUUAAUAUUGCCAUAAUUAAGAAGUUCCGGUCGAGUCCGAUCCGAUACCAAUAGUAUAUUCACCUGUUCCGACUACCUUAUCUGUACGUUCCGCAUCUGACAGGGCCACCACCAAACGUGUAUUCAGGAUUAAUAUGCUUAAGUAUUACACGGUUCAUAAUCACAGGGUUGCACUACUUAAUUGUCAAAUUGUUACCUAUUGUAGUAUUUUAAUCAGUUAGACUUUCUAAGAUAACAAUACGAAUACUAAAAAUCUGGACUAAAAUAAGCGGUAUAGGUACAGUUUCAUUUGUUGGCGCAUGACGUAAAACAGCGAAUCAAAGAAUUCAAAUUUAUUAACUAAAUAUAGGACAAUGCUGUUGAUUAAAAAUAUUCCAUUCAGGACCUUUUUUUUCCAAUAAUUAAUUUAUCAAUAAUUGAUAAGUUCCAAUUCGACGGUUCAAACAGAAGAAUUUGAAACAGAGAAAACUGUGUAUCUUAUAAUCGCAUGACUUUAUCAGAUGACAUUAAUACUAAAUAAGGCUGCGCAUAGUUAUAUACUUUAAUUCAGUCACGGACCCGCGAUAUACGGGUGUGUUCUAGUUUAGUAAAUGAGUUAUAUCACCAAACGCGUAUUUUUAAAUACAAGAGGGGAGAAAACUCCCUUUUACAUUCAACGUACGCUUGCAAUCAAAUAUACAUCUUACGACAUGUCGCAACUAACAAUUUAGUAAAAAAUAAUUUGUUGAUAUCUUUACAGUCUUGGAUAUAAGUGAAAAUAAGCCAAUUCAAUAUUAGAAUAUGACCUUGACUUUGACCUUGACUAAUUUCAUUUUUGGACCAAGGACCUCAAAUCAAAAGAUCUUAGUCUCUAUCACUUAUGAUUUAUAGAUAGAAAUUCAUAUCACUUAUAUCAGAUGCAUAAGGGAAAUAACUUCAUAUGGAGCGGUCAUAUCGCCUCGGUCAAAAUGGACAAAUCAUGCGAAGGAUAUAACGAGCAAUUUUGUAAAAUAAAUUUGUCAUAAUCUUUUAGGGUUGCGAAGAGAUGCGCUAACAGGAAAACAGUGUUUGGGGAGAUAACUCUACAAAGAAAAGUAUUCGUUUACGCAGCGGUAAAUUUCAAAAGCGCAUAAACUGUCGAUAUAAUAUACCAAAUAUCUAGCGACAUAUUGCGAAACAAUGUUUAUCGCAAAACAAAAUUAGGCAGAAGAAAAAAAAAAAAAUAAUCAGAAGAAAAACAAUAGGUCUUUCCACAGAAAAGUGGAAAGAAUAAUAAUAAUCAGAACAAAUACAAUAAGUCUUUCCACAGAAAAGUGAAAGACUUAAUAAUAAUAAUAAAAUAAUUAAAAACCAAUUGUUCAGAGAACAAUUGAAGGUUUCCAUAUCAAAGAAAUUUUGAUAAAGAUAGUUGUUCAUACUGAUACGAUAAAUAAUGGUUUAUCAUAUUUUUAAGUGAUAUAAAGGAAUAAUAUGCUACUUCCGGUGAAAUGAAUGUCACUUCCGGUCUAAUAUGAAGCUUCUUUCACACUGAUUCCAAAAAUGUAUAGUUUCUAUAUACUUUUGUAUUUAGAAUGGGAGAUACAUGUCAUUCCGGUUUGUUGGAAGUCAUUUUAGUCUUCAGUAAUCAGUUUAUGUAUCUAUUGACAAAAUAUAUGGAUUCUGAAGUACUUUAUACGAAAAAAAUUGCAAAAAAAGGUUACUUCCGUUUCUCAAGGUCACUUCGUAGUAUUUUCAAGGUCAUUUGUCAUCCAACCUUUUGCACAAGGUCAAAUGCCAUUAAAAUGCACUUAGUUGAAGUUAUAAUCAAAUAACCUCAUAUCAAGACAUUUCAGGGGCACUAACUCCUAUUAAUGCUAUUUAAUUGUAUCAGACCAAUUAACAUAUUUCAUAACUAUAUAGCAAUCAUUUUGCACUUGUUUUAAUAUGUACCUUUUCAAGGUUGGAGAAAAUGCAAAAACAUGGAAAUUCGAAUUAGAAACUGACCUUGACCUUGACCCCAUUUUCUAAUAAAGGCCUAGGGAUCUCAAAUAAAUACAUUCCAGGUUAUACGGUUUGACGGUUUAUUAGUUAAAACACAUAUUGAGAAAAUAAUUUUAAAGGUAGAUAACUCCUAUAAAAUUUUCAUCGAAUGCUUCGCUCCAAAUAAGCCAAAUUUUCUUAGGAUGUAACGAACAAUUUUGUAAAAAGAAUUUUGUCGCAUCUUUUUUUGUUACAAAGGAGAUGCACUCUGAUGAUAAACAGUGAAUAGGAGAUAACUCUUACAAAGAAAAGUGUUCGGCUUAGCAGGGUUAAAUGAAAGCGCAUAAACUGUACGAGUACAAUAUGAGAAUAUCUAAGCGACAUAUUGCGAAACAAACAUUUGUCGCAAUAUCAAAUUAGCGGAGAAAAAAAAAAAAAAAAAAAAAAAAAAUAAUAAUCAAAAGAAAUACAAUGCUUUCCACAGAAAAGGAAAGACCUAAUAAUAAUCAGAAAAUACAUAAGUCUUUUCACAAAAAAUGAAAAGACUUAUAAUCAGAACAAAUACAAUAAGUCUUUCACAAAAAAGUGAAAGACUUAAUUAAUAAUAAUAAUAAUUAAAAACAAUGUUCAGAGAACAAUUGAAAGUCUUUCCACACCAAAGAAAUUUUGAUAAGAUAGUUUCUUCAUACUGAUGCGAUAAAUAUGGCUUAAUUAUAUUAAUGAGUGAUAUAAGGGAGAUAAUUGCUACUUCCGGUGAAUGAAUGUCACGCCCGGUCUCAUAUGAUAGCUAUUUCACACUGAUUCCAAAAACAUAUAGUUUCUUUAUACUUUUAAUGUAGAAUGGGAGAUAAUUGGCCACUUCCGGUUUGUUGGGAGUCAUUUGUAGUCUUCAGUAAUCAGUUUAUGUAUCUAUAUGACAAAAUAUAUGGAUUCUGAGUACUUUUAUACGAAAUAAUUGCAAAAAAGGCUACUUCCGGUUUUCUCAAGGUCACUUCCGGUAGUCAUUUUUCUCAGGUCAUUUGUCACCUUACCUUUUGUAUAAGGUCAAAUGCCUUUAUAAUGAACUUAGUUAAAGUUAUAAUCAAAUAACCUCAUAUCAAGACAUUUCAGGGGCACAACUUGCUUAUAAGAUGCCAUUAAAUUUAUUAGACUAAAUGUAGCAUAUCUUCAUUACAAUAAAGCAGACAUUUUGCACUUGUUCUUUUAUAUGUAUCUUUUAAGGUGUUGGAGAAAAUGCAAAAACAAGCAAAAGUCACAAUUGAGAACUUGACCUUGACCUUUGACUUUGACCUCAUUUUUUAAGUAAGAACCUAGGGGCCUCAAAUAAAAAUAUCCCAGGGUUACAUAGUUAACCGUUUAUGAGUUAAAAAAACAUACCGUCAAAUUUAUAUGUAAUGGAAAAUAACUCCUAUAAGUUUUCAUCAUAUCGCUUCGAUCCAAAUGAGCCAAAAAUUAGUGAGGAUGUAACGAACAAUUUGUAAAAGGAAUUUUGUCGCUAUCUUUUUUUGUUACAAAGGAGAUGCACACAGAUGAUAAACAGUGAAUAGGGAGAUAACUCUUACAGAGAAAAUGGUUUGCCUUCGCAGGGUGAAAUUUAAAAGCGCAUAAAACUAUACGAUACAAUAUGAGAAAUAUCUAAGUGACAUAUUUGCGAGCAAACAUUUAUCGCAAGAACAAAAUUUGGCUGAAAAAAAAAAAAAAAAAUAAAUAAAAACCAAUUGUUCAGAGAACAAUUGAAAGUCUUUCCACAUCAAAGAAAUUUUGAAUAAGAAAGUUAUUCUUCAUACUGAUACGAUAAAUAAUGGUUUAAUUAUAUUUUUGUGUAAUAAGGGAGUUAAUGAUGGUGAAAUGAAUGCUACUUCCGCUAUCAUAUGAUAGCUUCUUUCAACAUGAUUCCAAAAAAUAUAAGUUUCUAUUUACUUUUGUAUGUAUAGAAUGGGAGAUAAUUGGUCACUUCCGGUUUGUUGGAAGUCAUGUUUAGUCUUUCAGUAAUCAGUUUAUGUAUCUAUAUGACAAAAUAUAUGGAUUCUGAGUAAUUUGAUAUGAAAAAAUUGCCAAAAAAGGCUACUUCCGGUUUUCUCAAGGUCACUUCCGGUUGUAAUUUUUCAAGGUCAUUUGUCACCUAACCUUUUGUACAAGGUCAAAUGCCUUUAUAAUGAACUUAGUUUGAAGUUUAUAAUCAAAUAACUCAUAUAAAGACAUUUCAGGGGCACCAACUACUAUAAGAUGCCAUUAUAUAUUAUAAGUCUAAAAUGUAGCAUUUCUUCAUUACAAUUAUCUUUCAAAGUGUCAGAGAAAAUGAAAAAACAUGCAAAAGUCACAAUUGAGAACUUGACCUUGACCUUUGACCUUGACCUAAUUUUCUAAUUUAGGACCUAUAUGACUCAAAUAAAAACAUUCCAGGGUUAUACGAUUAACGGUUUAUGAGUUAAAUGACAUACGACAAAUUUAUUUUGUAAAGGUAGAUAACUCUAUAAAAUUUCAUCGAUCGCUUCGAUCCAAAUUAGCCAAAAAUUUCCUGAGGAUGAAACGAACAAUUUGUAAAAAGAAUUUUGUUGCUAUCUUGUUUUGUUACGAAGGAGAUGCACACAGAGGGUAAACAGUGAAAAGGAAGAUAACUCUUACAAAGAAAAUGGUUCGUCUUAUCAGGGUGAAAUUUAAAAGCGCAUAAACUAUACGAUACAAUAUGAGAAAUAUCUAAGCGACAUAUUGCGAAACAAACAUUUAUCGCAAGAACAAAAUUUGGUGGAAAAAAAAAUAAUAAUCAGAACAAAAACAAUUAAAAACCAAUUGUUCAGAGAACAAUUGAAAGUCUUUCCACACCAAAGAAAUUUGGAUAAGAAGGUAGUUUCUUCAUACAGAUGCGAUAAAUAAUGGUUUAAUUAUCUUUUCAGUGAUAUAAGGGAGAUAAUAUGCUAUACUUCGGGAAAAAUGUCGUCACAUCGGUCUCAUAUGAUAGCUUCUUUCACACUGAUUCCAAAAAUUAUAGUUUCUAUAUACUUUUGAAUGUAGAAUGGAGAUAAUUGGCCACUUCGUUUGUUGAAGUCAUUUUUAUUCAGUUAUCUGUUCAUGUAUCUUUAUGACAAAAUAUCUGAUUCUGAGUACUUUUAUGUAAAACAUUGCAAAAAAAGCUACUUUCGGUUUUUCCAAGGUCACUUCCGGUAGCCAUUUUUCAGGUCAUUUGUCACUUAACCUUUUGUAUAAGUCAAUGUCUUUAUAAUGAACUUAAUUGAAGUAUUAUCAAAUAACCUCAUUAUCAAGACAUUUCAGGGCAUCAACUCCUAUAAGAUGCCAUUUAAUUGUUAGACUAAUGUAGAUAUUUCACUACAAUAAAGCUGACAUUUUGCACUUGUUCUUUUAUAUGUAUCUCUGUAAAGUGUCAGAGAAAAUGCAAAAACAAGCAAAAGUCACAAUUGUGGAACUUGACCUGACCUUUGACCUUGACCUCAUUUUCUAAGUAAGGACCUAGGGGACUCAAAUAAAAACAUUCCAGGGUUAUACGGUUAACUGUUUAUGAGUUAAAUAAACAUACCGACAAAUUUAUUUUGUAAAGGUAGAUAACUCCUAUAAAAUUUCAUCGAAUCGCUUCGAUCCAAAUACGCCAA
rnacentral:lncRNA from 1 species